UUUUCUCUUGUCUGUCACCAUGUGAGACAUGGCUUUCACCUUCCAUCAUGAUUGUGAGGCCUCCCCAGCCACAUAGAAUUGUGUCAUGAGAGCCACCCUUCCCAAAGUAGCACUUGUGAGCAGAGGUGAUCAGAGGGCUUUCUGAAGAGUGAGGAGUGACUUCAGAGGGCCAAAAAGAAGAAAAGGGAGUGAGACAGUCGUUAAGACUCCUAAUCCCGGCUUAUUUUUACUGCUUCUCAACACAGCAUUGCAAGUGGCUGAUUUGAUGGAUGUGGCACGUGACCAAGUUCUGGCUAAUGAGAUGUCUGAAACUUAAAGUGGAAGAGAUGUAUCAUCUCCUUUUCCUUGCUCCAUCCUGCUACCUGAAAAAUGGAUGUGGUGACAAGCCCUGGAAAACCACAAGGAUGAGAACAGCACUGGAGAGAUGGUGCAGCGCAUGAUGCAAUUGCCUAGGUAUCUGAUGGCUGAGUAGAAUUUCUCUCCUCCGACUUUUACAUGGGAAGGAAAUAAAACUCUAUUUUGUUUGAAAAAAAAAAAAAAA
rnacentral:lncRNA from 1 species